rnacentral:rRNA from 1 species
AUUGAACGCUGGCGGCAGGCUUAACACAUGCAAGUCGAGCGGAGCGGCGGACGGGUGCGUAAUGCCUAGGACUCUGCCUGGUACUGGGGGAGAACGUCCGGAAACGGGCGCUAAUACCGAAUACUAUCAGAUGAGCCUAGGUCGGAUUAGCUAGUUGGUGGGGUAAGGGACUACCAAGGCGACGAUCCGUAACUGGUCUGAGAGGAUGAUCAUUCACACUGGAACUGAGACACGGUCCAGAAUCCUACGGGAGGCAGCAGUGGGGAAUAUUGGACAAUGGGCGAAAGCCUGAUGCAGCCAUGCCGCGUGUGUGAAGAAGGUAUUCGGAUUGUAAAGCACUUUAAGUUAGGAGGCGUUACCAGCAGAAUAAGCACCGGCUAACUUCGUGCCAGCAGCCGCGGUAAUAC